UGGAAGGCUGCUGGAGUUUGAGAUCUGCUGGCUGUGCUGUGAGAAGGAAGGGAGUGUGGCUCUGCAAGGGACAGACAAGGUUGCUCUCUCCAAUGCCAGCAGAUGAAAGGAUAUUCAGUUCAUGCUCUGAGCAGCAUUUCCAUUUCCUCUGCAUCUUGUGCAACUCCUUGACCAAGUCACUUUGCAGCCCUGUCCCCUCAUCUUUUGGCAUCUCUGACACCUACAGGGUCUGUGCAAUGGGACUCAAAGAGUGUACUGUAGGCAAGGAGUAAAAUGUGACUCAAAUAGCAGCUACUGCAGUCUUCCCAUGGUAUUUUGCAUCAGCACUUUACCAAAAUUCCCAGGUAUCUUUGGUGUGAUAGGGCAAUGAACCCUGUGGUG